GCUAAUUAGCAUCGUUAGCAUAAUUAGGAAGUCCGUUAGUAGCUAGCUCAUUAAAACUGUUACCAUUCUUAUCGGAAAACGCUUUUAUCCCCACCUUUGGUUCUUUUUCAUAACGGUAUGAUCUGCUGAUACACUGCAAGGCAUUUGCAGAACGAGUUUGAAUUACUACUGGCAUUUCACUUUAUCAGCGAUUCCUGGUGAGAUCGGGGAGACGGUGACAUCAGACCAGUUUCUUGGCGAUGAAAAAGUCUUGGAGUCGUUUGAUCUGCCAGAAACCAACAGAGAGCAGGAUGCCGGUCUCACCAGCCUUUCUCCAGCGAACACAGAGAACCUGGUGGAGUUGGUUUGGAAGCAUAGGUGGUGCUGGCCGGAGGCGUGAGCUGUGAAGUGAGGAUUUCCUGCGUACUUCCUGGUUUGGGUCUCUGACGGUAACCGUGACGCCGAGGUGAGGCGAGUGGCUGAACGACUUGACGUCCCACGGCUCCAGGAAGAAGUUUCCUGCAGAACGAAGUACAUGGCAGUGGCCAGCGGCAGGCAGCCCAGGAGCAGGAGAAUGACCCGAUGGAAAUCCAUCCUGAAUUCUGCAGAGUUUCACCGUUCAGACUGAGGACCGUCGUCAGUGUGAAAACAGAAAACUGCUGGAUCUGCCGGAGUUGGAUGAGUGAGCCAUCGAUCAUCUAAACCCACCACAGUCAGACCAGCGAAAAUGAGACGUCACGGCCGAAGCGGUUAAUCUGAGAUUCAUGGAUCCGCCACCGAGUCGCCUGAACUGCCUCCGACCCGGUUCCCCAAACCCGGUUCAGUUCAGACCUCAGAGUUUCAGCUCAGCCUGGCUGUGUGGGCGGAGAGGCGGUCUGUGCAGAUCCAUUCAGUUUCUUCAUGCUGACAUCAGCAGAAUAAAGUGUCAACAAUGUCA